rnacentral:rRNA from 1 species
AGUGAACGCUGGCGGUAGUCCUAACACAUGCAAGUCGAACGGCAGCACAGAGGAGCUUGCUCCUUGGGUGGCGAGUGGCGGACGGGUGAGGAAUACAUCGGAAUCUACUCUGUCGUGGGGGAUAACGUAGGGAAACUUACGCUAAUACCGCAUACGACCUACGGGUGAAAGCAGGGGAUCUUCGGACCUUGCGCGAUUGAAUGAGCGGAUGUCGGAUUAGCUAGUUGGCGGGGUAAAGGCCCACCAAGGCGACGAUCCGUAUCUGGUCUGGGUGGAUGAUCAGCCACACUGGAACUGAGACACGGUCCAGACUCCUACGGGAGGCAGCAGUGGGGAAUAUUGGACAAUGGGCGCAAGCCUGAUCCAGCCAUACCGCGUGGGUGAAGAAGGCCUUCGGGUUGUAAAGCCCUUUUGUUGGGAAAGAAAUCCAUCUGGUUAAUACCCGGGUGGGAUGACGGUACCCAAAGAAUAAGCACCGGCUAACUACGUGCCAGCCGCCGCUGUAA